UCUUCAGGCCGUUUGUUUGCUUCCCCCACCAAAGGAGGAUAGCGGCAGGUUUAGGCUGAGGAUAAUUUUUUAGUUUGCAAGAGCUGUGCAAUGCACGACGUAGCCCACCGUUUUAAACUGUAGGGGGAUGGAUGUCGGACGGGGUUUUGCGGCAAUUCUGGAUUGUUUUCCACUUUGCAGGUUGAAAGCCCUUGCAGGAUCAGGCAGGGAAGGUGGCUCACGACAACCCUGCAAUGUAGUCCGGAGGCGUUGUGUAAAUUAGAAACAUCUAACCACAUCGAAGUAGCCACGCCGCUGUACAACAAGAAUCAUGAAAUCUUAGGGAUCUCAAAGAUCGCCCGGUCCGACCUGCUGGCAAACGGAGGAUAACGUCCCCGAAAAGCGGCUAUGCAGCCCCUAAAAGUAGCAGCUGGGCUAGCUCAGUCGGCGAAGCAUGAAACUCUUGAUCUCAAGGCUUGUGGGUUGGGCAAAAGAUUCCUGCAUUGCUGGGGGUGGGACUAAAUGACCCUCAAGUCCCCACCAACUCCACAAUUCUAUGCAUUUGUCUAUGCAAUCUGUUGAUAACAGAUUGUAGAAUAAGCAUCAUCAUGAUUACUGAAACAAUGAAAGACGGGCUGUUGAAUGAAUGAAUGCAGCAGACUGGUCUUGGCAUGAGAAUAGGGGUGUUGCUAGCAUGCCCCGUUUGCAUCUGUGAAAUGCUGGAGGACAGAGGCCAUGAUUAAAAUCCCAUAGUUGCAAGCAGGAGGAUUCCCUGUUGUGCUGGGGUUGUUCUCACACUGAGGGGCUUUGUGCUCUUAGAAGCACAGCAGUGAUACCUAGGCAUAAUUCCUUUUCUGGGUUAAAACCAGAAGCUAGUUUCACUCUCAAAUUCAAACAGAUUUAUAUAUACAAAAGAUGGAUGCUCUAUUAUCAACUCAUGGGUUGCUUCCACGUUAGAAGUUUACCUGUCUGAAAUUGCCAUCCUUUGUUCACUCACAUUUCAUAUGAAGAAGUCACAAUAUUGCUGCCUGCUCACUGCGUUCCACUGAAUUUUGCAUUUUAAACUACUCAUUUUUCUUGUAUCUGUUUUUUUAGAUUGUAUGCCUUGUGUGCAGAGCCACAUACACUGAUGGCACUAUAUAAAAGUAUUUUACAUAAAAAUCUGUAUAAAAGCCGACCACUGAUUUUAUUUUUCACAAUUAUUUAUUUCCACCAUUGGCUUCUCACCCAAGUGCUGCAGUACCAAAACAAUAACAACAAUAAUUAUUAUUAAUAAUAAUAUCAACAACAGCCAGACCUCCCCCC